UUGGCCCAAACCCUGUGUGAUAGGCUGAGGCACAGCAUCGUGCUGAGUGGAAGUGCUCUACUGCCCGUAGCUGCAGGCUGCGGUGGGUGGAAAGGUAAAGCUCUAGAAGCAAAAAUAAAAGAAGUUGCACAAGGGGUGGCACUGCAGGUGUAUCAGCCCAAAGGACAAGUUUUGUACCCUUCGAGAAAUGGUCCUACCCCGAAAUACAUAACUGCCAAUGAUUUUCUGGAGACUUGAUGACUUUACAGGGUCCAUAUGUAGUGAAUAGUUUUCCAAUAGUUGUUUAAUUUGUGUUCAUUUUCUUUUAUUUUUCCAUAGAUCUGAAACUUUAGUAAAUUUAUUGGUAAGUUUUGAAGUGAAAAGGGACUAUUAACAUCUAAUUUCUUAUCACGCAUAACAUAGGCCUAAGAACAUCAGGCAGUGACCUCUGUCCUGACAUCAGUCCUGGUUCCCUUCCUGUCCUUCGGAGAGGUAUUUGAUAUAAAUCUGUACUUAUUAGGAAAAGAAAGAUCUUUCCAAUGGUUUGUUAAAUAAUCUACUGUAAAUAAGCAAGCAGAGAACUUUGCCAGUAAAUGAGAGUCUAUAAACGUGCAUGAUUUAGUAUCUUCACUGCAUUUCUUCCAAAAAUAGUGGGUUUGUGCACUUGGUCAGAGCAUUAGAUUUUCAAUUCUUUCAUGUGAUAAUGGCAACUUUUAUGAGAAAUUUGAGGGGGAAAAUGCAUUCUGAUUUGAGGUUUUCAUUCCAAUGUCCAUGGCUAGGGGUUGGGACCAAGGGUCACCCCUGGAGCCAGUGGGUCACCAAAAAUGAUGGACAUGGGCACCAUGAACACACUGAACGUAGAAGGACUCUUCUACAGUAGGCUGGCAGGGAAGGCAUUCUGCUGUACACUGAUUUCUUAAAAAACACAGUAACAGAAUUCACGAUACUGCAUGUGGGGAGGCGAGAGGAUGGGCUGUGGGGUCCAUGCAUGUGUACAUAUGGCAUCUGAAAGUGCUUCUGUUCGUGUGGAGCACAAAGGGAUUUUCAUGCUCCAUAUGAAGAGAGAAGAACAGGCAUCAGAAAAUGUAUAUGCUUAUUAGUCCUGUGAGAACAAAGGCGUUUUUAGGUUUAGUGUCUGUGCUGAAGGAAAUAAAAUACUGUUCCAGGAUAGCUAUAGACUAGAAUUUUGGCAAAACUGAAACCCAAAAAUAAAAUCAUUUGGAGCCAACUAAAGGAUUUUCUUUAACUCCAUUGGAAAUCUGAACUCUGAUCUGGUUUUUGAUAUCUUUUCCUUUUCAAAUGUACUGAAAGUUUUCUAGUAUACCAUCAUGAACAUCUUGAGAUGAUCACUUAACUUUUCUGAGUUUUAAAUUUAUCUCAGCUGUGCCUUUCCAGGAAAUCUGACUUUAAUUCCUGAGCAAUUUGUCGUUAUAAACCCAUGAAUUUUCUGCAAACCUACAGUUCCCAGCUCCCUCUGCCUUUCCCCGGUUCCCACCUGCAAAAGAAAAAAAUCACACGGCCCCACGCUUGGAGGCAUCCUCUGGUACAUCCAUGAGGACGGUACCAGCCGGCACAGCCGUGCCUGCAUCCAGCAGGAGGGCUUGGGAUGGAAAUGGGUUUUACAGCCGGUGUGCGAGGUAGGCACCAAGAAUUUAUUGCAUAAGCCCUUCGCAUUUAUAAAAUGUGCAGCUGUAUUUAUUACUAAACGGCUUUGCUGGCAUUUCAGUAUGCAAUUAAUUCAGCGUUAAAAGACUCACCACGCUCCACGAGCAUUUCCAUGGCAUGCAGGAGCUGAUGUUUUGAUGAGUGUGGAAGGGAGCAGCUCCCCUGAAAUACAGCGUGUGAGCACAAGGUGGCACUUGGACCCCACGGACCGGGCGAGCCCAGCCUGGGGACAUCGCACAGCAGCAGCACUUGAUUUAUAAAUUUUUGUUGAAAAGCAGGAGAAACUAUAUGAAGAUAGGGGGCCAAAAGAGCUGCUUUUGGAGUAACGUGUGGACUAUAUUUUCUUUUUAAUGCAUGUUGGUUUUGCUGGAGAUGGGGGUGCCGCCCGGCUGAGUUAGCUUAGCCCUGUUUCCUGCAGUGAGGAUGUCCCUGUGGGUCACUGGGAACACGGACACAGCUGCUGUGAUCACUGUCACCUCUUUUGUCCCUGGUAAGGCAUACUGGAUGUAAUUAACUUCUUUUCUCUCCUUUGGGAUUUUAUCUGCAGCCAUCAGUGAGGCUGCCAUGUGACCCUUUGGUGCAGGGUUUCCAUUCUGGUUUGAUCCCAAAGGAGACUGUUCUUUGUUUACAAGCAACACAAUAUUUUAGAGUAUUUGAAACCUACGAUGGCCUUUCUGGUUGGGAUCUGGCUGGGGGUGGCAAGGUGGUGGGUGUCCAGGGCAGGAGCCCUGCAUCGCCCUGCCAGGAUGUCUCCCUCGCAGAUAUUUUUCUGGAAACUUUUCUGUUUUUUUCGGUUUGUUGUCUUUUUUACCAGCCAUUGAUUUGUUUGACGUUAUGCCACUGAGCAAUCAAGUGUUGUAUAGGCAGCUGUGUGUAACAGGGCUCCGUUACACCUCCACGUGCAGCUCUGCUUUCCAGAAAUGGGACAUUUCUGAUGUCCAGCCCUGUUUUGCCCAGUGAUGUGGUCCUGCAGCCCUGGUCCCGUGUGGCUCUGUGUGUGUGGACAUGCUUACUUCUACUGACCCCUGAUGCCAUACACAACCUGCCUGCCCUUCUUUCCAUCACCCUGGCACAGUCACUUCAGCUGUACAGAAAUGACCCCACUUUAUAAAACCACCAGUCAACCAUUCAGUAGAAAUAUCUAAUGCCAUAAUGCUAAAUACUUGUAAACAUUCCUACAGAUGGAUGUGGUUUAUUUUGCCAUUAAUAUACAUUGGUAAUCUUGGUAAUCUAAACUGGAAUCUAUUAGCUUGUGCAAAUUAGUUGUUGUUUUUUUUUUUUUAUAUUGCAGCUCUGAACCUGUCCCUGGUCUGGGGAAGGUCAAAAAAAUCAGCUCCAAGUGUUUAUUCAUGUAAGUGCUGGUGUGAAGGAGCAGGUCUGCCAUUCCUCUCUUGUCUGACUUGAAGGACUUAAUAUAAAGCUACAGAACUUGUGUGAGUUGGAAACAAAAUAUGCUUAGAAGAAGAAAAGCAGCUACAGAAUACUUUUAAAAAGAAAAACUCAAAAUCUCUCUACUUGAGAAAAACAUGGCAAAAGCUAUGUCUUGUGCUGUGUGCAGGAUGCUUAGUGAGUUAACGUGGAAAAGCCCAAAAUUUCCUGCGAAGUCUAGGACAAAAAUGCCAAACAUUCACCUCUGCCCACUUUAAGUAGAUCAGGCUUUGAAUAACAAAAUAAUAAAUUCAAUCUCAACCAAAAAUUUUACUCCGAAAAAAGAGAAAAAUAAUGCUAGUGAUUUCAUACUAGCAUUGAGUUUUGACAUACUCAUAAUAAUUUACAAUAAACACACAUGAAGUUAUGAUAAACGUAACUUUAAAAACGGAAAUGCCAGCACCAACAACUGCUGUGAAGCUGUUGCUCCCUCAGUGAUCUGAUUGUGCUUUAAAUUUGAUUGUGCUGUAACUUCGCAACAAUUAUGAAAACAGUUAUGCAUUUUUAUUAGCACUUGUAAGUUAUGCAGUGUUUUUACUGUUGAGUUGUAAGGGAAAGGGAAGCCUAAGCAUAUGGUAGAGAUCUUCAAAGUUCUCAACAUAGGAGAAAAUAAUGAUUAUCCUUCACUUAAUUAAUGUCAUGUUUAAUAGGGUAUUAUCUUUCUGCAAAGAUAUAGCAUGCUCUCGGGGAAGGAGAUGGAGAUCACCGAUGGCUGGAUAACCUUUUCUGGUCUCUUAGGAAUAAAACUGCAGCCCAGGGUAUAAUAAUUACUAAUAAUGAGGCAUCUUCUCACCACACUACUGCCAAAUCCUGUAGACAAUAAAAAGACAAGGGGAAGACCGGUAGCUGAAGCAAACUGCCCUGGCCUCAGGAGUGACUGCUGGGACAAAUUAAAUCCCUGCCGAUGGGUCAGGUUGCAUUCACUCCUUUAUCCUUGGGCAGAUCCAGAACAUGCCAUUAAUUAGAAGGUAUUUUCUCUAGAUUUUCAUAGAUUUUAAAGAGGAAUUGAUCUGCUCUCUGCUGUAAGCUUGUCGGUCAGUGACACAUCCUUAAAACUGGGGGUUGCAGUGCUUUUCCUCUCUGCUUUGAUGACCCUGGAUGUGCCACAAGCAGCUUGUUUUAUCCAGAGAGCGCCCUUGUCCUUUACCCAAACAGCUCUGCAGAUGCUGGUGACUGCGGAACAUGCUCUCGCCCUGAAUCUGAGAGGUGCCGACACGGCCUCAUCUGUCUACUAGUAUUUAAAACCCCAUCCCAUCCUGCAAAUGACAGGUAGCAGCUGCCACUGCUGCAUCUCCAUCUUCUUCCCCGCUCCCCGCAGAGCUGUGCCCGUGGUUGGGUCCCUGCGUCACUCACGGUUGUAGCUACACGCGGCGCAUGCUGUGCAGUUGACUGCAUGCUUAGCUUCUCCCCUGAUCCUGAGUUUUGUAGCAGCAUAUCUGACUCUUCCAGCUUUCCUUCACCUUCAGCUCAUGCUUUGCAGGCUGGAAGUUGUUGCUAGGCAUUUAGCUGUUUUGCAGCGAAUGGCUGUGUUGGCUGACAGUGUUUCAGUUCAGAUCCUGUUAACCAGGUUUGGGAUGUGGACCAAGCCGUGACUCUUGUGCCCUUGUGCUAUCAGUGGUUUGAUGGAUCACCUAUUUAAAAAAAAUAAUGCAAAAGAUAAAAAAGCAAAGUAUGUGCAAUUUGUCUGUCUUUGAAGCUGUCCGUCCUUCGAUGGUAUUUCUACCACCCUCACUUGUUUGAUGUGAUCAGCCUACAUCAGGUCCAGGGGGACUCAGUGCUGUGGCAGGUGAUACAGGAGGGUGCUGGGACCACGCUCCCCCUGCCUGAGCUGAGCUGGUCCCACCUUGGCUGUAGGGUCCCUCUGAGCAUGGGAUGGAGCCUCAGUGCCUGCAGUUGUUCAAGGCACUGGGGAAGUUUUGCAAGGAAAAUCAUGUCAGUUUUCUCCAGAAGGACAGUGAGAGUGAUCAUAGCCUGUAUCUUGCUUUGUUGAGCUUGUUAAAAGGUUGCUGGAUUUCACUAGUGAAACGGAACUGGUCAGGAACACGAUGUUGGAGAUGACAGGAUUUAUUGCUCCAGCUGCAUCUCACUGUGAUGAAGGCUUCUGCUAACGGAUGCACUCUGCUGUUUCCUUUCCCCAGUUCUUGUUUUUCAUACAGAAGAGAAGCUGAAAAAAUUUAAGCAAAAAUAACUGUUUGUUAGUAGAGGCUGGCUUCAGAUUUCUGGUGGGUGGUGCUUGAGGAAACCAUGGGGAGCAGGGAGUUGUGGACAGUCUGGCUGAGGGCUGGAGCUCCUGCUUGAAAAGUUACAGUGACUCUGAGCCCAAAGACGUCUGGCUUUUGGUAGAUAUCAGUCAUCAAGCAAAAUGAUGAUAUAAUCAAAUGAAAAGAAAAAAAAAAAGAAUCACUAAAUAUUUAUCAUGCAUAAAGCCACCUUCAACCUGUCAAGAGAAAUAAUUGCAAAAUGAUGCAGUAACACCCGACUUGCUGAGAUCUGCAUCAGCUCUAACUGGGAAGUAAACAAUACACUAAAUUUAAUGGCCAAAGUUACUUGAAUUCAAGUGUUAUUCCAAUGGAAUACCUCUGCUGUCAGAUGUGCCAAAACACGCCGUUACUGUACAAUCAUACUCAAGCGAGGGCUGAGAGUACUUCACCCACACAACUAAUGUGGUGCCACAUCCCAGGCUGCCCAGGGCAAUCGGAGAAGGCAGCUCUCCUCUUCCCAGCAGUGCAGCAGGAUUGUCCCCCAACACCUUGAAAACAGAUGCCUUAAAGGGAAAGAAGAAAGUUUUCAGAAAUGCCCAGUUUCUCCCCAAAUUUACGGACUACUUUUUAAUCUCACCUUUAUGCUGUUGAAGAUGUUCAGUCCCUAAGUCUGAAAACUCCUGACAGAUGGACACAUUGGAAAACAUUAAUCCACUUACAGGCUGGGAGCUGCUGGCAAGAGGAACAAAGUUUCUGCAUGGGUAGUGAGCGUGGCCGAGCACUACAGGGUUGAUCCACAUUUCGCUCAGCGCUGAUUUUAUGUCUUGUGUGCGGCAUCGGCUGGCCCCUUACAAAAGUGUUUUGGGGGACUCUUGUGACUAAGGUUUACGGCAGAAGGGAUGAGUGGAAGAAUAGAUUCAGGUUUUUUCUUGUUUCUCAUCAGGAGGCAGGGGCAGGGUUUGGAGCAUGUAGUACUCCCAUCUGUCUCUCUGACAGGCCACUUCCAUCACCUGCCCACCAUGCCUCUGUGCGAUAGAUCAGGGUGGGGGACCUUGACACGUCCAUCGCAUCUGCUGCGACUCCUGUUGAAACAGCGUCUACCCCCAUCACAAGAACUGCACACUAAAAUGAUGCUGGGAGUACCGAUUCUUUGAAUUCAUGGGGAAGAUAAUUGAAUCAUGUUCCUUUCUGCACCUUCAGAAGGAAAUCCCAUCACCAUUUGGAAAGUGAGAGUAAACAAUAAGUAUGCACCUUUGUUUAUGUGACACCCAGAUAAGGAUGAUAAAUCACUACUUUAUUUUUACUUAGGAGAAUUGAAAAAGCAAAGAUGAUGACACCCCUCCUUUUGGAGGUGAUUACCAUAGAGGGAACUCUGUCUGCUUGAUUAAAUGCAGCAUUUGUGUAGAUUAUUCUCAGCUAUGAGAUGUUUUCAGAUUAUGAUCUUCUUCUUUCUAUCAUUUUUUUUCCUCUUUUUUUCCUUGGGAUUUGUACACACUGCAGUAGCCGACACAGAGAAAGUCAAACCCAGGGACUGCAACAGUUUCCCUCUCUAGCUUUUUUGUCCUCUCCUCCUCACCGGCCUUAUAUUCCUCGCACGUGUGCCUUCCGCCAAAUAACAACAACAGUGAUUAGCAGGCAGCCAGCUGGACCUAGGGCUGCCAAAGCUGAGCCCCCAGUCAGCUCUGGGGGUGUCCCUGGGGAGCCGCAGGUGAUGCUGGCCGGGAUGCUGUGGGCAUGGGCUGGGUGUCAGCAGGAGUCCCCAGGCAACACGUGCUGGGGGACCCAUAGGGCACAGGGCGAGGUGGGUGUGAUGAAAGGCCUGGGUUUAGUGCUGUGUUAUUUCUGUCCCUAUUCAGGAUAUCUUUUGUUUUAGUCAGGCAAAGCUCCUGCUGGAGACAAUAGGACUUUUAUGGCAGCAGGGAAUGCUAAAUAGGGCCCUCACCAAGCAAACUGCAGCUAUCUUUUUAUUUCUGUACAUAGCUGGAUGCAACUGAUAUUAUCAGAAAUAAAAAGGACUGUGCUUUCAA